GAUGAAGAACGUAGCGAAAUGCGAUAAGUAAUGUGAAUUGCAGAAUUCAGUGAGUCAUCGAAUCUUUGAACGCACAUUGCGCCCCCUGGUAUUCCGGGGGGCAUGCCUGUUCGAGCGUCAUUUCACCACUCAAGCCUCGCUUGGUAUUGGGCAACGCGGUCCGCCGCGUGCCUCAAAUCGACCGGCUGGGUCUUCUGUCCCCUAAGCGUUGUGGAAACUUUCGCUAAAGGGUGUUCGGGAGGCUACGCCGUAAAACAACCCCAUUUCUAAGGUUGACCUCGGAUCAGGUAGGGAUACCCGCUGAACUUAAGCAUAUCAAUAAGCGGAGGA
rnacentral:misc_RNA from 1 species